rnacentral:tRNA from 1 species
GGAGAGGUGCCAGAGCGGUCGAAUGGGCUCGCCUGGAAAGCGAGUGUGCCGCCAACGCGGUACCGAGGGUUCGAAUCCCUCCCUCUCCG